AAGUCGUAACAAGGUUUCCGUAGGUGAACCUGCGGAAGGAUCAUUACCGAGUGCGGGCCCUCGCGGCCCAACCUCCCACCCUUGUCUCUCUAUACCUGUUGCUUUGGCGGGCCCACCGUGGCUAGGUCGCCGGGGGACGAACGUCUCCGGGCCCGCGCCCGCCGAAGCGCUCUGUGAACCCUGAUGAAGAUGGGCUGUCUGAGUAGUAUGAAAAUUGUCAAAACUUUCAACAAUGGAUCUCUUGGUUCCG
rnacentral:misc_RNA from 1 species